rnacentral:rRNA from 1 species
GAUGAACGCUGGCGGCGUGCCUAAUACAUGCAAGUCGAGCGAACGGACGAGAAGCUUGCUUCUCUGAUGUUAGCGGCGGACGGGUGAGUAACACGUGGAUAACCUACCUAUAAGACUGGGAUAACUUCGGGAAACCGGAGCUAAUACCGGAUAAUAUUUUGAACCGCAUGGUCCAAAAGUGAAAGACGGUCUUGCUGUCACUUAUAGAUGGAUCCGCGCUGCAUUAGCUAGUUGGUAAGGUAACGGCUUACCAAGGCAACGAUGCAUAGCCGACCUGAGAGGGUGAUCGGCCACACUGGAACUGAGACACGGUCCAGACUCCUACGGGAGGCAGCAGUAGGGAAUCUUCCGCAAUGGGCGAAAGCCUGACGGAGCAACGCCGCGUGAGUGAUGAAGGUCUUCGGAUCGGAAAACUCUGUUAUUAGGGAAGAACAUAUGUGUAAGUAACUGUGCACAUCUUGACGGUACCUAAUCAGAAAGCCACGGCUAACUACGUG